AGCAUGAAGAGUUGUUCGUUCAUGGGCGUUUUUCAGUUGGAUUGAUGAGGAGAAGCUGUUUGGUAACGCAAGUCAUUGAUACUGCUGGUUGCGUGGCACCAGACCUGGCUGAGAACAGAGAGAUGAUACUUGUAACUUGUAAGUAAGUUGUAUUCAGAUUGUUCUAUAAAAUUCUGAUAAUAAUCUGUAUCUUAAAUUUUGUGUAUAUAGGACUGGAUAUAUAUAUAUAUAUAUUAUGAUAGAUAUAUAGUGCAUUCUAUCCGACGGUAGGACCCAGUAAUAGUAAUAACAUUUUGCAAUACUGUUCAAAUUUAUUGAUUUGAGUCAUCUGCCGAUUCUGUCUUAAAUUUAUCAAAACCUCAAACAUAACGUUCUGCAGGUGUUGCAAACUCUUUUUACUAGGAUCACAAUGUGCAUGUAACAAACACGGUUAUUUU
rnacentral:lncRNA from 1 species